rnacentral:RNase_P_RNA from 1 species
GCGGUUAGGUGACUAAUCGGCUGUGUAAACCCCACUCGGAGCAAGGCCAAGUUAGGAUUAAAAGAGUAUUGCUCGUACUCUCCGGUUGGUAGGCCGCUUGAACUUAUUGGUGACAAUAAGUCUAGAAAGAUGAUUAUCUAAUACAGAACUCCGCUUAUAGAUUUGCUCGAUUU